ACGGGAGGCAGCAGUGGGGAAUAUUGGGCAAUGGGCGCAAGCCUGACCCGGCAACGCCGCGUGAAGGAUGAAGGUCUUCGGAUUGUAAACUUCUUUGAUCAGGGACGAAUAAAUGACGGUACCUGAAGAACAAGUCACGGCUAACUACGUGCCAGCAGCCGCGGUAAUACGUAGGUGACAAGCGUUAUCCGGAUUUACUGGGUGUAAAGGGCGUGUAGGCGGUUUGGCAAGUCAGAAGUGAAAUUCCCGGGCUUAGCUCGGGCGCUGCUUCUGAAACUGCUUAACUUGAGUACUGGAGAGGAUAGUGGAAUUCCUAGUGUAGCGGUAAAAUGCACAGAUAUUAGGAGGAACACCGGUGGCGAAGGCGGCUUACUGGGCUUUUACUGACGCUGAAGCUCGAAAGCGUGGGGAGCAAACAGGAUUAGAUACCCUGGUA
rnacentral:rRNA from 1 species